UACGAAGGGGGCUAGCGUUGCUCGGAAUCACUGGGCGUAAAGGGUGCGUAGGCGGGUCUUUAAGUCAGGGGUGAAAUCCUGGAGCUCAACUCCAGAACUGCCUUUGAUACUGAGGAUCUUGAGUUCGGGAGAGGUGAGUGGAACUGCGAGUGUAGAGGUGAAAUUCGUAGAUAUUCGCAAGAACACCAGUGGCGAAGGCGGCUCACUAGCCCGAUACUGACGCUGAGGCACGAAAGCCAGGGGAGCGAACGGG
rnacentral:rRNA from 1 species